rnacentral:lncRNA from 1 species
GUGUGUUUAAAUCUGAAUUUUAGUUAAUAAACAAAUGUGAUUUCAUAGGCAGUAGGGGUUCCUUGAGAGAGAAGUGUAACGUUCUACAGAUGAGGAUGGUUGGCUGCAGAGUGUAGGAGAAAUACACAAUGAAUAUCAUGUACCUCUUUUCCCACUGGGAAAACAGACUCCAGGCAAGUGGCUUCAUCCUUCCAGGACUUAUAUGACUCAUUUAUAACAAGGAAAAUUAUAUUUUACUAAGUCCCUGUUGUUUCAUCUCUUAUCAAACAGGCAAAUUCCCCAACGGAAUAAAAGCAUUAAACAAAAUGCUGUACACACUAUAGUAAAAGCCAAUAGCUUUUCUCCUCCUGAAAAACAAACAAACAAACAAAAAAGCCAAAAAACUUUACAUCCAUUUCCCAACAGCUGUUGCUUUUUAGAGAAACCAAAUAUUCUUGGAAAGGGCCACAGACAUUCUGGAUUCAAACUA